UAAACUAGGAUUAGAUACCCUAUUAUUGAAAAUGUAAAUUUAAUAUACUUGAAUAGUAUUAGUUAUGUUCUUUAAAUUUAAAAAAUUUGGCGGUAUUUUAGUCUUUUUAGAGGAACCUGUCCUAUAAUUGAUAUUCCACGAUUAAUUUUACUUAUUUUAUUUGUUUGUAUAUCGUCGUAGUUUGAAUGUUUUAUAAGAAUUUUUAAUAUUCAAGAUUUAUAAUAAUAAAUUAAAUCAGAUCAAGGUGCAGUUUAUAGGUAAGUAGAGAUGGGUUACAAUAAAUUUAUUUAUAUGGAUAAAAUAAUUAACAUUAUUUUUUAAAUUGGAUUUAAAUGUAAUAUAAUUAAUUUAAAUUAUAUGAUUAUAGCUCUAGAAUAUGCACAUAUCGCCCGUCGCUCCCAUUUUAAGAUGGGAUAAGUCGUAACAAAGUAGGUGUACCGGAAGGUGUAUCUAGAUUGACAAAUUAGAGCUUGUUAUAAAGUAUUUUAUUUACAUUAAAGUGUUAAUUGUGAGAAUCAAUUUAAUUUGAAAUUAUUAAAUUAUUAAUUUGUUUAAAAAUAAAGUAUUAUUUUUUUUUAGUAUUAUUUUUGAAUAAUAAAAUUUUAAUUAUAGUUAAUUAGUAUAGUGAUAGAUUAUUGAAAUAUGUGAAAUUUUAAUUUUUUAAAAAAAGGAUUAAUUUUUUGUACCUUGUGUAUCAGGGUUUAUUAAAAAUAUGUUAUUGAUUUAAUUUUCUCGAAUUUUUAAGAGCUAAUAAUAUGUUUAUUUAAUUGUUGCAUAAAUUUUUUGAAUUUGUUAUUAGAAAUGAAACGUUAUUCGUUUAUAAAGAUAUCUAGUUUUUUAAGAAAUAAAUUUAAUUUAAUUAUUUAAAUAUACAAUUUUAAUUUUUUAAUAUUGUAUUUUAAUUAUUUAAUAUUUUAGGGGAUAAGCUUUAAAGUAAAAAUUUAUAAAUAAUUAUUGUAUUAAAAAAUAAUAGAAUUAGAAUUUUUUAUUUUUUAAUAUGUUAUAAUUAAUUUUUUUUUAAUAUGAUUUUUAUUAAUUUUAAGUUUUAUAUUAAAAUUAUUUAUUUAAUAUUAUAAUAUAUGUAAUAAUGAUUAAAUUAGUAUAAUAUUUGUUUGUAUUUAUAAAUAGUUGUAUUAAGGUUAAAUUUAGGAAUUCGGCAAGUUUAAAUUUUUCGCCUGUUUAUUAAAAACAUGUCUUUUUGAUCAUAAUUUAAAGUCUAACCUGCCCACUGAGUAUUUAAAUGGCCGCGGUAUUUUGACCGUGCAAAGGUAGCAUAAUAAUUAGUUUUUUAAUUGAAAGCUGGAAUGAAUGGUUGGACGAGAAAAUUACUGUCUUAAUUUAAUUUUUAUUAAAAUUUUAUUUUUAAGUUAAAAAGCUUAAUUAAAUUUAAAAGACGAGAAGACCCUAUAGAGUUUUAUAUUUAUUAAUAUUAUAAUUAUUAGGUUAUUUUAUUUUAUAAUAUUAAUAAAUAUUUUGUUGGGGUGAUAGAAAAAUUGAAUAAACUUUUUUUUUAUUUAAUCAUUGAUUUAUGUUUAUAUGAUCCAUAUAUUAUGAUUAUAAGAUAAAAUUACCUUAGGGAUAACAGCGUAAUUAUUUUUGAGAGUUCUUAUCGAAAAAAUAGUUUGCGACCUCGAUGUUGGAUUAAAAUAAACUUUUGGUGUAGAAGCUAGAAAGUUAGGUCUGUUCGACCUUUAAAAUUUUACAUGAUCUGAGUUCAAACCGGAG
rnacentral:rRNA from 1 species